AUCAUGGAAGCUAGCUC
rnacentral:sRNA from 1 species